GAUGAAGAACGCAGCAAAAUGCGAUAAGUAAUGUGAAUUGCAGAAUUCAGUGAAUCAUCGAAUCUUUGAACGCACAUUGCGCCCGCCAGUAUUCUGGCGGGCAUGCCUGUUCGAGCGUCAUUUCAACCCUCAAGCACAGCUUGGUGUUGGGACUCGCGUUAAUUCGCGUUCCUCAAAUUGAUUGGCGGUCACGUCGAGCUUCCAUAGCGUAGUAGUAAAACCCUCGUUACUGGUAAUCGUCGCGGCCACGCCGUUAAACCCCAACUUCUGAAUGUUGACCUCGGAUCGGGUAGGAAUACCCGCUGAACUUAAGCAUAUCAAUAAGCGGAGGA
rnacentral:misc_RNA from 1 species